GAAAGCAAACUUGGCCACCAAGAGGCCAGGCUGGAAAUGUUUUCUUUACGAAUUGUUGAUUCUGGAAAAGUAUCUUCAUCUAUGCUGCUGCUGCUGCUAAGUCACUUCAGUUGUGUCCGACUCUGUGUGACCCCAUAGAUGGCAGCCCACCAGGCUCCCCCGUCCCUGGGAUUCUCCAGGCAAGAACACUGGAGUGGGUUGCCAUUUCCUUCUCCAAUGCAUGAAAGUGAAAAGUGGGAGUGAAGUCGCUCAGUCAUGUCUGACCCUCAGCGACCCGAUGGAAUGCAGCCUGCCAGGCUCCUUCGUCCAUGGGAUCUUCCAGACAAGAAGGUGAGGUGUUGGGGAGGUCAGGCACCCUGCUGAAGAGUUAAGCUAGUUAAGUUGAAGAAAUGACCUCAAUGCUGGUCUGAACGACCCUGUUGAUUAAACCAGACACUUUGCUCUCAAGAAAAACUCAUCAAAGAGUUGAUGGCAGAAACAGCAAAGAUGCCACAUCAAAUGCAGAUUUUAGUUACUAAAAAAAGACGACUGCUGAUUAAAUCCACUAAAAUCCAAGGAGUUGGCAAGGUGAGUAGCUUAGCAGUUUGGCUACCCCAUGGUCAGCACACAAGUUAAGAGCAGUUUGACCUUUGCAGAAAGGUGGGGGUUGGCACCUGGGACGGGCCUCAGUCUUAAAGGGUCACACACUAGGUGCUGAUUUUGCCCUUUAAGGAAAUUUUGUUGGCCCAAGUAGAAUGAACUAUGCCUUUUCUAUGUUGGACAAAAGACAUUUUAUUCUGGCUGGUUUGACUGCUUUCCUUCAUGGAAAGCUGCCACUUCUUAACUACUUGCUAAUUACCAAUCACUGUACCUAGAAAUCUCUGUAUAUAUGACCUCCAUUAAGCCCCAAGACAGCUCGAUGAGACAGAUUUUAUUACUCCCACAUCUACCUAUCUUUCAGGCCCCUCACCUGUUUUUCUACAGAUUUUCAAAGGUUAUAGAGGAAACUUUAAAAAUUCUAUUGCUUGCAUGAGCUGAACACAGACUCUUUAUUGCUCUCAGCGUCCCAGAUGAGGUGGGG
ensembl:lncRNA